ACACUCUGGAGAGUCUCUACAAAUAGAGCGCCGAAGGUGUAAGGAAGGAAAUAUUUUCCCAAUCUCUCAGGCAAAAGGACAGAGAAA
rnacentral:ncRNA from 1 species